GAUGAACGCUGACAGAAUGCUUAACACAUGCAAGUCUUUGGUGAAGCUGUGCUUGCACAGCCUAGCCAAGGCGGACGGGUGAGUAACGCGUAAGGAACUUGCCCUGCAGUCAGGGAUAACAGACGGAAACGACUGAUAAGACCUGGUAAAGUCAGGCGGACUCAUGUCCAGCCUGAUGAAAAGAGAUGCUGCAGGAGAGCCUUGCGUCCUAUUAGCUUGUUGGUGGGGUAACGGCCCACCAAGGCAAUGAUAGGUAGCCGGCCUGAGAGGGUGGACGGCCACAAGGGGACUGAGAUACGGCCCUUACUCCUACGGGAGGCAGCAGUGGGGAAUAUUGGACAAUGGGGGCAACCCUGAUCCAGCAAUUCUGUGUGCACGAUGAAGGUUUUCGGAGUGUAAAGUGCUUUCAGCAGGGAAGAAAAAAAUGACGGUACCUGCAGAAGAAGCGACGGCUAAAUACGUG
rnacentral:rRNA from 1 species